rnacentral:tRNA from 1 species
ACGGGUCUAGCUCAGUUGGUAGAGCACUGGUCUCCAAAACCAGGAGUCGGGAGUUCGAGUCUCUCGACCCGUG